rnacentral:rRNA from 1 species
CCUACGCGUGGCAGCAGUGGGGAAUAUUGGUCAAUGGAGGCAACUCUGACCCAGCAACGUCGCGUGAAUGAUGAAGGUCUUCGGAUUUUAAAGUUCUUUUCUAAGGGAAGAAGGAAGUGACGGUACCUUAGGAAUAAGCAUCGGCUAACUACGUGCCAGCAGCCGCGUUAAUACGUAGGCGGCAAGCGUUACCCGGAAUGACUGGGCUUAAAGGGUGCGUAGGUGGUUUGACAAGUUAGUAGCGCAACUCAGGAGCUCAAAUUCGGAACUACUACUAAAACUGUUGGACGUGAGUGCAGGAGAGGCAAUCGGAAUUCCUAGUGUAGCGGUGGAAUGCAUAGAUAUUAGGAGGAACACCAGUGGCGAAGGCAGAUUGCUAGACUGUAACUGACGCUGAGGCACGAAAGCGUGGGGAGCAAACAGGAUUAGAUACCCCAGUAGUC